UUCCUCUUCAUGGACGCGUUUCCGAUGACAUCGACACAGCGUAAGGUUGACCGGAAGAAGUUGCGACUGGUCGCCAUGGAGAGACUUGGUCUGAAG